UGUCAAACAAAAGAGGCUCUCAGCCCGCAUCUGCUUGCUCAGCUGUUGAUCCCGCAGAAUAUCGCGAGAGGUGCCGGUUGCCGUGGUGAUGACAUCCCAACAUAAAUAGCGACAGCCUGGAGGAGCUUCAAGCUAGUGAAAGGAGACAUUUACGAAGAAAUUAGGAAUAUGCAGAAAUUGCAGCUGACAGUUGCAACCCUGGAAGAUGAGAGCAAAGAAAUGGAGGAGAGACUGCAACAGCUGAAAGAGCACAUGAGUAAAGAGAAGGAGGAGAGAGGGCAUUCAAGAGGAUUUAAAUGGGUGUCUGGACAACACAUUCCCUUCAACAGCAAACAUUCAACAAAGAAGAAAGAAAAUGAAAAUGUAAUCCAGAAGCACACAGGCAAAGUAAAGAUUCGAGUUCUGAAACCAGAAUCAUUUACAGCUCCGCUUCAGCCGCCACCUCCGCCCUCUUUCCAAACUAAUGGUCAACGGACAGCGAGAAGAAACAGAGUCAAGGAAGCGAUCUGUGGACCGUGUGAGGUGAAGACUGCAGGAUUGGUGCAGAUGGUGAACGAUGAAGAGGAAAAAGAGAUGGGAGGAAUUGAAACUUCCUGCCUUCUUGAUGGAAACUUCAGUGAGGAGGAGUCGGCUAGAUAUUUUCAGGAGGCUCUGAAACAAUGGAGAGGAGAGAGGAGAAAUGGAAAAGAGCAACUCAUGGAUGCAGCUUUACCUCUUAAAUCCACUAUGGCAACCCAGGUCGACCUCCUUCCAAACAGAGAAGCUGAAGAACGAAGAGGAAGGGAAGAAGAGACUCCAACCGUCAGGGUGCAAUUCACACAAAACAAGCUCACCUACAUGGACAGAUUGCUUCUCAAGAAGCACCGCAGGACGCCAAUUGAAAAUCAAAGUCUGUCCUCAAAUGUUGGAGCUGAUUUAAAAUAUCUUCCUGAUGAAGAUACAGAGGAAGACGCUGCAUGCACCUUCACAGCAGAGGAAGAGGAUCUUCAUCUCUAUUAUGCAUCACUGUUUGCUCUCCCUGACAGCAGCAGCGGGACAAAGCCGCAGAUUGUUGCACCUGAACCGUGCUUUGUCAUACAAAUCUUGGAUGAGACAAACAUAAACACGACUGGAGAACAUGCCCAACAGCAGAAGACAGAGAACAGAAUGGUUUCACUGGUUCAUCAGAUCUCUGAGACGGAGAAGAGUUUGGAUUCCAAAGCUGCUCAGUCAGGUUCCUCCAGCGCCAAACGCUCUUCUUCCUUUGUAAAACAGCCACCCAAACAGUCCGUCACACCAAGACAACACCAAACAGGAAGGAAGCUCAAGCCUUCACAACUGCAGGAUACAGCUCUUGAGUACAGCAGGUCACACAUCUUCAAAGAACAUCUCCCACUUCUGACAGCAGGACCUUCUUCCCUAAGAUCUACUUUCACAAUCUCACCACCAAGAUCCAUUGAGUCUACCUUGCUGCCCAACAUCUAUUUCCUACCCCAACAGAUAAGAUCUGAAUCGUCCUUCUUCCAAGAACCAGCCUCUCCUGCAAAGCUUUUGGAAGCAGCUCGAGCCAACCUUACGUCCCCAAACCCUGUUCAACAUUUUAAAAAUCAACUUUUGAAAGAUCAAUUCUCAUCUGGGUCCCGCAUGCCUGCCAGAGUACACCUAACUCCCACUACCCCUGAACCAGUUCUACCAAUAAGUGAUCCUGUACCAUGUCAGUUACCCAUAGGACUCUUCAGUAAAUCCACCCCUAGAUGUGAAGAGUCUCCUGUUUUUACAUCAUCUACCCACAUUUCUGGUGACUUAACAACAAACCACUCAAGACAGAAUACAGAGUGCAUCAUAUCACAUUUCUCAAAAAUCAACACUGUCAAAAUGGAGGAAAACUUGGAACUGUCAGUAGACAGUGGAGAUGAAAUGUCCAGUGAUAGCCUGAGUCUGGCUUUAUUUGAAGAAGACUCCUCGGGCGAGGAAACACAGAUCCAAGGACAUUUAGCAACAAAGAAACUGAAGGAAAAGCAGAGCUCUGCGAGUUGUUUUCAAGAAGACUCCUUUAUUCCUGCAGAGCCUGAAAAAGAGAAGGAUCUGCUUUCGGAUAAGCCCGAACGACAGCCCGAACUACUCAUGUCUUCCUUCCACUCCUCCUUCUCCUCCGUCCUUCCAUCUGUUUCCAUAUCCCCUCAGGUGAUGCAGAGCCAGAGUGUUGGGACUGGAUCAGAGCACUUCUGUGAUCUGAAUGGGUUUUCGCCUUUAGGUUUGGAUGUGGAUACUUGUCACACCCAUUCACCAGAGCAUGCCUUCUGCGGCAGACAGUCUUCACUGCAUGAUUUGAACCCAACAGGAUCUGUGAAUGACAUGUCCACACCUGUUCCUUCUGGAGCUGUAAUCACAACCCCAGGACCUCCUUCCGUACCAACCCAUUCAUUUUCUCAGGCAGCAAGGGAGAUCAUGGAGAUCAGUAACAUGGACCCAGAGGGGUGUGAGGAUCCAGAUGUAGAUGCUGACACGGUUGCGCACAUCCUACAGAGUCUGGAGCAGGAACUGGAGGCUACAGCAAAGGGCACUUAUGCUUUGUUAUUGGAUAUGGGAAACAGUGGAGGUCAAAAUCAGGAUUCAAAGCCCUGCUUCAUUUGGGGUGGGGUCAGUGAAGAAGAAAAGAAGAAUGAAGAGGCUGCAAAUAGAGACAGAGAGAGUGUCCUCCUGCUACCAUGAGAUGGAGGAAGAGGAGGAGGCGGACACCAGCACUUUCUACUGUUGGAGAUGAUGCAUCAGCACGAAGAUCAGGUGUCUUCACUGAGUUGGGAGAUGAAGCAGUUAAGACAGUAAAGCUGUGGGUCAUGGUGGGAUAGGAUGUCUCCCCGGCUGGUUUCUAAAAUAGACCUAUUGAAGAACAUUUUCUGGUUAUUGGCUCUGUCUAGACUUCAUCUCAUUGAUCCUCCUUCUGCUUAAUUCUCUGUCUCUCCCUCAAAAUGUUCUUUUUAAUGCUCCAAGUAUUAAAUGUGCUUUGAAAGUGGAAAGUUGUUUAAAUGUUUUCAUUCUAACAUAAAUGCCUAAAGCAAAACGGAAAAAUGUAACUUGUAAACUAAAAUAUUGCCGAAUAUAUAUUUUUGAAAAUUCCCCUCGUCUCCCAUUAAGGAUAUUUGAAUUCUAUGAUAAUUACAAAGGCAGAACAUAAACAAAAAUCCUUUAGAUUUGAAUUUAUUUAAUUAUUUUUUAUUUAAAAAAAUGUGUUUUUCAAAAAUGACAGAAAUGCCUUAUAAAGACUGUAAAACCUGAAAAAUGUGAGCAGUAACCUAAAAAAAGGGGAAAAAUACAUUAUUUAAUUAAUGUCCAAAACUUUAUCAUUUAAAAUACCAACAAAUAUUUACAUAAGUGAAGAUAUGGCAGAAAAUCACAUUUAGAUUAGCCAAACUGUUUUUAAGGUUUACACAACAUUAAAAGUGAAUCCAAAAUUAUUGAACUGUAGUUAUGAAUCUGAUGAACUGCAGAAAUAAUUAUAGUAUUUUACAUUGUUAUUUAAAGCCAUAGUUUAUGAAAAUACUCUUUGUAAACUUUGAAUGGAGACUUCAUGAAUGAUAACUGGUCAAACUUGCUUGUGUUAUUAUGGGAUACAAACAGUACAGUAGUCAUGGAGGAUGCAGGAGUGGAGAAGUCUGUUAUGUCUGUGCUGAAAGUGUAUUUAUUUUUCUAUUUUGUAUUUUAAGGGGACACUAUUGAUUGUAAUUGCCAUGUCAGAACCCCAUGAAAAUGCUGAAACAAGCAUGAUCUGUCACUUCAUUUACACAUAAAGUUAUUUUCAGUCGUGGACAAAAAAUAUAUAUUCCCACACAAUUUGUUUAGGUAUUAGUUUAUUUAAUUAGCUAAAUGCAGUUCUUGUUUGAUUUAUUUUCUGUAUUUAACAAGUUAGCCAUUUUCUAGUGUUUUAGAGUUACUUGUGCAGCUGUAUUUCCUCGUCUGGAUGAGGGCGGAGCAGUUAUGUUAAAGCUUGAUUCCAUGGCCAGGAGGUGUCAAAGAGGGUCGACUCAAAAUCCUGUUUCACGAAUUGUUGGUGUGUUGACUCAUUAAUGUACGAAACUAAAAUUGUUCAAUUUCAGUACGGUUAUUAUAUCUUCUUAAACCAAUUAUCUGUUUGGGUUGUUUUGGUGUAUUGUGUAGUUCCCUCCAGCUCAUUUCAAUUAUUUGAUUAGACAACAUAAAAACCCCUUGAUGCAUUUUGUUUGGAG
ensembl:lncRNA